AGGAAGUGACCUCCCAGACCAGGUGGCCUGACCCUUAAAUAACUUUUCUGACCUCGUCAUUGGUUCCAACCAGAAACAGGCAUUAUUUGAACCCUGCGGAUGCAAACCAAUCAUUUUAAAAGUGGUCAGCAGUCCUUGGUGGAGUGACCACAGUUAUCAAAUUAU